UAGCGCUGGCUCUGAAUUUAGUACGGAUAUAUUCAGAGGACGAGGAGAAGGUUGUCGAGCCGUCAGCGGAUGCCUUCCGGCACGCUCUGUCGAGAGUCUGCGGUCAAAGCAUGGGGGCGACCCCGUGGACAAAGCCGUG
rnacentral:ncRNA from 1 species